rnacentral:tRNA from 1 species
GGGGUUGUGGCUCAGAGGUAGAGCGCUCGCCUACCAUGCGUGAGGCAAUAGGAUCAAUCCUCAGCACCA